CGCGGUAAUACGUAGGUGGCAAGCGUUGUCCGGGAUUUACUGGGCGUAAAGGAUGUGUAGGCGGAUACUUAAGUGAGAUGUGAAAGCCCCGGGCUUAACCUGGGGACUGCAUUUCAAACUGGGUAUCUAGAGUGCAGGAGAGGAGAGCGGAAUUCCUAGUGUAGCGGUGAAAUGCGUAGAGAUUAGGAAGAACAUCAGUGGCGAAGGCGGCUUUCUGGACUGUAACUGACGCUGAGGCAUGAAAGCGUGGGGAGCAAACAGGAUUAGAUACCCUGGUAGUCCACGCCGUAAACGAUGAGUACUAGGUGUAGGAGGUAUCGACUCCUUCUGUGCCGCAGUUAACACAAUAAGUACUCCGCCUGGGAAGUACGGUCGCAAGAUUAAAACUCAAAGGAAUUGACGGGGGCCCGCACAAGCAGCGGAGCAUGUGGUUUAAUUCGAAGCAACGCGAAGAACCUUACCUAGACUUGACAUCUCCUGAAUAGCGUAGAGAUACGUGAAGCCCUUCGGGGCAGGAAGACAGGUGGUGCAUGGUUGUCGUCAGCUCGUGUCGUGAGAUGUUGGGUUAAGUCCCGCAACGAGCGCAACCCUUAUCAUUAGUUGCUACCAUUAAGUUGAGCACUCUAGUGAGACUGCCCGGGUUAACCGGGAGGAAGGCGGGGAUGACGUCAAAUCAUCAUGCCCCUUAUGUCUAGGGCUACACACGUGCUACAAUGGUGAGAACAACGAGAUGCAAUACCGCGAGGUGGAGCCAAACUUGAAAACUCAUCCCAGUUCGGAUUGCAGGCUGAAAUUCGCCUACAUGAAGUUGGAGUUGCUAGUAAUCGCGAAUCAGAAUGUCGCGGUGAAUACGUUCCCGGGCCUUGUACACACCGCCCGUCACACCAUGAGAGCUGGUAACACCCGAAGU
rnacentral:rRNA from 1 species